rnacentral:rRNA from 1 species
CUCAGAUUGAACGCUGGCGGCAGGCUUAACACAUGCAAGUCGAGCGGUAACAGGGGAAGCUUGCUUCCCGCUGACGAGCGGCGGACGGGUGAGUAAUGCUUAGGAAUCUGCCCAGUAGUGGGGGAUAGCCCGGGGAAACCCGGAUUAAUACCGCAUACGUCCUACGGGAGAAAGCAGGGGAUCUUCGGACCUUGCGCUAUUGGAUGAGCCUAAGUCGGAUUAGCUAGUUGGUGGGGUAAAGGCCUACCAAGGCGACGAUCCGUAGCUGGUCUGAGAGGAUGAUCAGCCACAUCGGGACUGAGACACGGCCCGAACUCCUACGGGAGGCAGCAGUGGGGAAUAUUGGACAAUGGGGGCAACCCUGAUCCAGCCAUGCCGCGUGUGUGAAGAAGGCUUUCGGGUUGUAAAGCACUUUCAGUAGGGAGGAAAACCUUAUGGUUAAUACCCAUGAGGCUUGACGUUACCUACAGAAGAAGCACCGGCUAACUCCGUGCCAGCAGCCGCGGUAAUACGGAGGGUGCAAGCGUUAAUCGGAAUUACUGGGCGUAAAGCGCGCGUAGGUGGUUUGGUAAGCGAGAUGUGAAAGCCCCGGGCUUAACCUGGGAACGGCAUUUCGAACUGUCAGACUAGAGUGUGGUAGAGGGUAGUGGAAUUUCCUGUGUAGCGGUGAAAUGCGUAGAUAUAGGAAGGAACACCAGUGGCGAAGGCGGCUACCUGGACCAACACUGACACUG